rnacentral:rRNA from 1 species
UACAGGGGGUGCAAACGUUGCUCGGAAUUAUUGGGCGUAAAGCGCGCGUAGGCGGCUACUUAAGUCGGAUGUGAAAGCCCCUGGCUCAACUGGGGAAGUGCACCCGAAACUGAGUAGCUUGAGUGCAAAAGAGGGCCGCGGAAUUCCCGGUGUAGAGGUGAAAUUCGUAGAUAUCGGGAGGAACACCGGUGGCGAAGGCGGCGGCCUGGGUUGACACUGACGCUGAGGCGCGAAAGCUAGGGGAGCAAACGGG